GGUUUUCCUUUUAAAUAUUUGACAUCAAUAAUAAAAUACACCUCACACUUUCUCAUAGACUCAUACCCUCAAAAACUUUCCACCCAAACAUAAUUUAUUUGCUUUCAUUUGAUAUUUAUUCGCUAAAAGAGGGAGGGUAGAGUUUAAAGCUUAAAGUUUAGCAAUAAAAAAAUAAUGAUGUAAACAUAAAAGGGAGAAAAGGGGGCAGAUGCAUGACCCUCUACUCAUGGGUACAAGUCCAAGAAGACAUAAGUGUACAAUAUAUGAAUGAAAGAGACAUUUGGUUGAAUAACAGGUUUUGAUAGUUUACAUCAUCACGUAGGUAAAUUAACAUUUACAAUCACCAUAAAGGACACAGGAGAAAUACAAAGAAACAAAAAAUCAGAAAGGUCAAUUGUGCUAAGCAAAGAAAUAAAAAACUUGCAACAUAUGGUAGUCCAUACAUCAUUUUAGAAUUGUUUGUUUGAUUAGUUCCUGGCAUAAAAAAUGAUUCUACUAGAAUAGAACCAGAUUGUGUGGAAAACAACAAGAAAAAAAAAAAUUUAUGUUCUGCAUCUUAUUCACGUGUCUAGAACCUAAGACCCAUCCUGACUCCACUCUAUAUUUUCACUGCUUGAGGUAACAUGUUCAGAGUCUAUUUGGAGCAUAAUUGUCCAGUUCUUUCCUUUCACUAAAAGACAAUAUAAGAUUGCUGAUAUUACAGCAAGUUAUUGCUAUGAUUUAAACAUAAAUCAUCACUUUAAAAAUCUAACUCGGAUGAGAAGGCAAUAUGACCCAGACAAACAUGCAAACAGAUACAAGUGAACUGAACAUAGGUGCUAGUCAUCCUUUAUGUAGAAAUCUAAGGUUUUCAAAGGAAGUAUUGCCAUCUAAUGUUUUGUCAAAAACUUGUAGAAAUGUGCUGACUCUAGUCUCUUACUAGUUUGGGGUUAAGCUUGGUCGUUGUUGUUGCAGACAUGUGGAUUCAAAGUUGUACAAGAAUAUGUAAAACUUACCAAAUUCAAGGACCGACAUUAGAUUUCAU
rnacentral:misc_RNA from 1 species